rnacentral:rRNA from 1 species
UACGGGGGGAGCAAGCGUUGUUCGGAUUUACUGGGCGUAAAGGGCGCGUAGGCGGCCACCGCAAGUCGACUGUGAAAUCUCCGGGCUUAACCCGGAAAGGUCAGCCGAUACUGCGGGGCUAGAGUGCAGAAGGGGCAACUGGAAUUCUCGGUGUAGCGGUGAAAUGCGCAGAUAUCAGGAGGAACACCGGUGGCGAAGGCGGAUCUCUGGGCCAUUACUGACGCUGAGGAGCGAAAGCGUGGGGAGCGAACAGG